rnacentral:rRNA from 1 species
AGAGUUUGAUCCUGGCUCAAGAACGAACGCUGGCGGCAUGCCUAACACAUGCAAGUCGAACGAAGCCUUCGGGCUUAGUGGCGCACGGGUGCGUAACGCGUGGGAAUCUGCCCUUGGGUUCGGAAUAACAGUUAGAAAUGACUGCUAAUACCGUAUGAUGCCUCCGGGCCAAAGAUUUAUCGCCCAAGGAUGGGCCUGCGUCGGAUUAGGUAGUUGGUGAGGUAAUGGCUCGCCAAGCCUGCGAUCCGUAGCUGGUCUGAGAGGAUGAUCAGCCACACUGGGACUGAGACACGGCCCAGACUCCUACGGGAGGCAGCAGUGGGGAAUAUUGGACAAUGGGCGCAAGCCUGAUCCAGCAAUGCCGCGUGAGUGAUGAAGGCCUUAGGGUUGUAAAGCUCUUUCACCGGGGAAGAUAAUGACGGUACCCGGAGAAGAAGCCCCGGCUAACUCCGUG